rnacentral:rRNA from 1 species
GGGCUUGACAUCCCACGAACCUGCCUGAAAGGGCAGGGUGCCCGCAAGGGAGCGUGGAGACAGGUGGUGCAUGGCUGUCGUCAGCUCGUGUCGUGAGAUGUUGGGUUAAGUCCCGCAACGAGCGCAACCCUCACCCCUAGUUGCCACCGGGUAAAGCCGAGCACUCGAGGGGAACUGCCAGCGUCAAGCUGGAGGAAGGCGGGGAUGACGUCAAGUCAUCAUGCCCCUUACGCCCUGGGCUACACACGUGCUACAAUGGCCAGUACAAAGGGAUGCGAGACCGCAAGGUGGAGCUAAUCCCAGAAAGCUGGUCUAAGUUCGGAUUGCAGUCCGCAACUCGACUGCAUGAAGUAGGAAUCGCUAGUAAUCGCGCAUCAGCACGGCGCGGUGAAUACGUUCCCGGGCCUUGUACACACCGCCCGUCACACCACGAAAGCUGUCUGUACUCGAAGUCGCUGAG